rnacentral:lncRNA from 1 species
GUGGCGAUGCCGGGGUGGGCAAGGCUGUGUCACUGGCCUCUUUGUUAAGCAUGAUUGAUCACAGACAGAAUCGGUGACUUCCCUUUGUGAAAGCCGGCUUUCUUCUGCAGCUUCAUUUCACACUUCCCUUGCCCCUCUCUCACCAAGCCCCUUGCUUCUGGCCUCCGGUGAAAUGCUGGGAGAAGGAGACCAUGCCUCCGGGCUGCCCACUGGAUCAGCACAUGGCUCACCCAUCUCUGGAUCCCAGAAGAUGCCCAUCUAAAUUCUCAUGUUCUCUACUGACAGGCUUAAGCCGGAAACAUGGGGCCAUGGCGACUCUGCUCCUGGUUUUCAAACACAAAUUAGGUUCUUGGGUGCAGGCAAAGCGCACCAGAAAGGGCAGAGGGCAACGGACUUGGCAGAGAUAAAUGAGAUCGCUACUUGACCUCCAACCCAAGGAUGCCUAGCGCUGAACUUCCUGUCUGACACAGCCUUUUCACGGGAAUUGUUGCCAAAACAGCUGAUUCGAUUCAUCCAGGCUACACUUUCCCCCAGCGUCUGCCUUCUGAACACCAACAGCUUUGACAAAUGAAACUGAGAAAAGAGAAUGACUUGGAAAAACCCACAGCCCACAAGUAGAGGGGCUGGCUAGGAUCUAGGCGAAUGCUGCCUUUAUAGAACCUUAGCAUCCCGUUUCUACACCACCAGUGUAAAGACCCUCUAUUAAAAGUUCCUUGGCUUCACGCUGAGUUUUCUUAAGUAAGCAAUGACAGAGUUCAGAAGCCACCCAUAAGGAAGAAACUGUCCUCUCCACCCAAAUCCAAACCCAAAUCAUAUCAACAGCAGAAUAAAGUAACAAGACGAAUGACUGCCACCAAAAGCUCCCUUAAAGGCAGAAGCUGACUGUAUUAUUCAGGACCCUUGGCCCUCCUGUCAUGGCUAAGGGUUCAAACAAAGUAGCAUUUGGCGUGACAAUUCACACAGACUCCACAGGCAAAGGGAGUACUGAACAGGGGUCUUGGAGAAGAGAGCCCCAAGAAGAGAUGGGGCAGAGCAAGAGAAUUGGGGCCACCUGGAAAAGCGUCUUAAGUGAACAAAAGGAGACUGACCUGGGCCAAGGAAGAAAGAGGCAGGCCAACAGCAGGAAAUGAAAAGCAGCCUGGGAAGACAGCAGAGGAGAGAGCAGUAAUCAGAACCACACAGAAUAUUUCCAUAGGAAAAAUGCUUGGCAUUCUGCUAAGCCCGAUGGCUUGCAAAACAACUGGGGAUGUACACUGAUCCCCAAAGACAAGUGGAUCCCAUGGCCUGGCCUGAUGCCUUCAGAAGCAACCACUGGUGAGCUAAGGAAGAGCUGGCAG